UGGGGAAUUGUUCGCAAUGGGCGCAAGCCUGACGACGCAACGCCGCGUGGAGGAUGAAGGUCUUCGGAUUGUAAACUCCUGUCGAACGGGACGAACACCUUUUCAGUUAACACCUGGAGAGGCUGACGGUACCGUGAGAGGAAGCCCCGGCUAACUCUGUGCCAGCAGCCGCGGUAAUACAGAGGGGGCAAGCGUUGUUCGGAAUUACUGGGCGUAAAGGGCGCGUAGGCGGCCUUCUAAGUCAGACGUGAAAUCCCUCGGCUCAACCGGGGAACUGCGUCUGAGACUGGAAGGCUUGAAUCCGGGAGAGGGAUGUGGAAUUCCAGGUGUAGCGGUGAAAUGCGUAGAUAUCUGGAGGAACACCGGUGGCGAAGGCGGCAUCCUGGACCGGUAUUGACGCUGAGGCGCGAAAGCCAGGGGAGCAAACGGG
rnacentral:rRNA from 1 species